rnacentral:tRNA from 147 species
GCGCCGCUAGCUCAGUUGGUUAGAGCAGCUGACUCUUAAUCAGCGGGUCCGGGGUUCGAGUCCCUGGCGGCGCACCA